rnacentral:rRNA from 1 species
UACGUAGGGGGCAAGCGUUGUCCGGAUUUAUUGGGCGUAAAGAGCGUGUAGGCGGUUAGGUAGGUCCGUUGUGAAAACUCGAGGCUCAACCUCGAGACGCCGAUGGAAACCAUCUGACUAGAGUCCGGAAGAGGAGAGUGGAAAUUCCUGGUGUAGCGGUGAAAUGCGCAGAUAUCAGGAAGAACACCCGUGGCUAAGGCGGCUCUCUAGUACGGUACUGACGCUGAGACGCGAAAGCGUGGGGAGCGAACAGG